GCCUGGGUGGCUCAGUUGGUUAAGCAUCUGACUUCAGCUCAGGCCAUGAUCUCAUGGUCUGUGAGUUCGAGUCCCGCAUCGGGUG
rnacentral:tRNA from 1 species